CUGCUGUGCGGCAGGGUGCCUCGAGUCUUUAUUGGUAAAGAUUGUAUAGGCGGAUGCAGUGAUCUAGUCUCUUUGCAACAGAGUGGGGAACUGCUGACGCGGCUAAAGCAGAUUGGAGCUCUGCAGUAACCACAGAUCUCAUAGGAAAUGUUCAACAAUUCUGUGAAAGGUCACAGGACCCAAUUGGAGAAAUCAUAUGAAAAGCAUAGUUGGUCUUGGUGUCAUAUGGAUCAGAGGCACAAGUGCAGAGGCUGUGGUCAUGCGGAACACUCUGUUAUUUAAGAUGGCUAUCCAGAUAAUCCUGAACACUGUGUAUUUAUUUUAUUUAGACUACCAGCAAAGAUUAAAGCAUGAAAUGUAAAACAUCUGAUAAAACUUACAGCCCCCUACACCAAGAGUGUAUCUGUGAAAGAGCUCCUACACUUUGAAAACUUAAGAAUCCCUUAUCAUGAAGUUUGCCUGUUCUAGAAUUGUAAGAUUGUUAAUUUCCUUCAAUCUCUAGUGACAACACUUAAUUUCUUUUCUAAUAAAAAAAACCUAUAGAUGAUUC
rnacentral:lncRNA from 10 species